UACAGAGGGUGCGAGCGUUAAUCGGAAUUACUGGGCGUAAAGCGCGUGUAGGCUGCUUCGCAAGUCGGAUGUGAAAGCCCUGGGCUCAACCCAGGAAGUGCAUUCGAAACUGCAGAGCUGGAGUCCUGGAGAGGAAGGCGGAAUUCUCGGUGUAGAGGUGAAAUUCGUAGAUAUCGAGAGGAACACCGGUGGCGAAGGCGGCCUUCUGGACAGUGACUGACGCUGAGGCGCGAAAGCUAGGGAGCAAACAGG
rnacentral:rRNA from 1 species